GGAAUUUUUGGAAUUUUCGGUAAUUCGGAUUUUUUCGGAAUUUUUGGAAUUUUGGAAUUUUUGGAAUUUUGGAAUUUUUGGAAUGUCGGAACUUUGGAAUUUCGGAAUUUUGGAAUUUUUGGAAUUUUGGAAUUUUUGGAAUGUCGGAAUUUUAGAAUUUCGGAAUUUUGGAGUUUUUGGAAUUUUGCAUUUU
ensembl:ncRNA B0041.10 ncRNA